GCCAGCUGUGGAGAAGGGGCAGCUACACAGCUUGCAAAUAAAGCAGGAAUGCUCCUGCAGCAGUUUCAGAAACUUCUGGAGGGCUGGCAUGUGAACUCAGCCUGGGUCUGCAGCUUAGUCUAGCUGACUGGCAUUGUGCAUGGGCUUGCCUCUCACUAAAUAAACAGCGCUCUGUCCAGUUUUGGGAACUGCUCUGCUGCCUUUUUUGAGCUCAGAGGUGUGCUCCGUAUACGCAUGCUGUAGCUUUGUGGUUUAUUUCGUGGCUCUUUCUUUUCCCCUAAUGCUCAAUGUGGAAUGAGUCUGGCUUCUCUGAGUGUUUGGUGGCUUGAGCUCCUUGCAAGUGAGAUGUGUUUUACGGGUGUCAUGCUGAUUUUAGUGGGAGUUGGUUUAUAUUUUUGCUGGUAGCUGUCUUCAGAUGCAGACAGCCAAGAACUAUUGGAGGUCUGUGUAGCCUUUACUUGUACCUUUAAAUGUUCUUCUGUUAAGAAGAAUUUGUGAGUUAUACAUCUUCAAAAUAAAGAGCUUAAAUAACUUCUACCUGCAAAGAUUUAAUAGAUAAUCACCCUGGUGAGCUUGAAUUUCCUCUUCGUGCUGUAGCAGGUCGUUUUUUUGGAGGGGGAGGAGGAGGAGAGGAAGGGACGGCAACAACAGAGAUGUGAUAUAGAGAUAACAACUCCCAGGCGUUCUGAUCCCCCGAUGCCCUCGGUUGGGUGUGCAGGGACAAGCUUCCUAUGAUUCGUGUUCCAAGACCUGUGAGAAGUGCUUCCAUGCAAAAGGGUGUGAUCAGCGUGCAAACAGUCGAUUAAGGAAAGCAUGGAUGCACUGCUCCUCAAAGCACUUACAACAAAUUUAUUUGUUUAUUUAUUAAUUUAUGGAACGUUCUGGCAGCAGGUACAGCUUCAGCAAGGUGUUGUCCUUCCUGUUAGGUGUAGAGCAAGCUGAGUUUGGAUGCUCUAGAACAAACAGCUCCUCUGUUUGGUUUAGGUUUCGGUUAAACUGUGGCCACGAUAACGUAAGCUUUGUAAAACCAAACCCUAGUCUGAUUGUCUAAGUAGUCCAAAUUCCACUGCAGUUCAGCACGGCGCAGAUGAAUGGGAGGUAGGCAGUGGUGCAAGCUGAUGUGCAAGUGGAAUUCAACGGCAAAGCUGAGAGCGGUGCUCUGAGCACGUCAGCAGGACGUACCCAGCUUUGCAUUUAGUUCUUACUGCCCUGAGACCCCUUAGAAUGAGUCGCAAACUGCAGAAAAUAGCUGGAGUUUGCUGAGGGCUGGAAAAGGAGGGGACA